GUCGGCAGCGUCAGAUGUGUAUAAGAGACAGUUAAAAAGCUCGUAGUUGGAUUUCUGGUUUAAUGCACCUGGCCCGCGGCCAAUAGGCUUGUGAGUGCCGGCGCGCGUUUACCAUCCUUCUAGAAAACGAUUCUGCCAUUCACUUGGUUGGCCAGAGGUGAAAUUCUUGGAUUCGGUCAAGACUAACUUAUGCGAAAGCAUUCACCAAGGAUGUCUUCUUCUGUCUCUUAUACACAUCUCCGAGCCCACGAGACGCUAACUGAUCUCGUAUGCCGUCUUCUGCUUGAAAAAAAAAAACAAC
rnacentral:rRNA from 1 species